rnacentral:rRNA from 1 species
UACGUAGGGGGCAAGCGUUGUCCGGAAUCAUUGGGCGUAAAGCGCGUGUAGGCGGCUCGGUAAGUCCGCUCUGAAAGUCCAGGGCUCAACCCUGGGAUGCGGGUGGAUACUGCCGGGCUAGAGUCCGGAAGAGGCGAGUGGAAUUCCUGGUGUAGCGGUGGAAUGCGCAGAUAUCAGGAGGAACACCGAUGGCGAAGGCAGCUCGCUGGGACGGUACUGACGCUGAGACGCGAAAGCGUGGGGAGCGAACAGG